UGUGAGAAAAGAUCACUGUUUAACAUAACCAUAUUUGUUUUAAAUGUGUAUAAAUAUAAAAUAUCUGUGCAUGAAAUUAUUACUAUUCAAUGGCGAUAUCUAACUACUGUGCGGUUCUGUUGUAAUAUUUUCUGCAAAUGUUGAGUGGAAGGAUCAAUAGAGACACCACUGGAGCUCAUUGAUUUAUUAAUGACAAAAACAUGAUCAGGACCGUAUGUCUGCACAGUGCAGUCGAAUGGGCACUUGGCAAAAGAGUGGUCGAUUCCAUGAGUGCCUGGUCUAUAGGAGGACAGCCACUCCCUAGGAGAUCCUUUACCGCCAAAACGAGGACAGCCACUCCCAGAUUUGUUCAUCUUUCCGUGGAGUGCAUGGCUAGUGUGCUGGGCAGAGGUUUGGUGAAUAAGAUAAGAUGCAUUUAAUUGCAAGUAUGCAUGCAACAUUUUGACUUGACUGGUAUAUCAAAAGCCGUGGUGUGUGCUGUCUUGUAAAAGAUACCUUGCUAUAAUUAUCAGAAUUAUUAAAUGUUUGACAUGAAUAGUAAAUGUGGUCUAGUGGUGUCAUUUAAAGAAGUAUUUUACUUAUUUCCACAUUUGGAGCUGUAUGCCAAACAAAUCUCAAAAUAUCUGGGUUAACGGUGGGUUAUGGAAACAUAUGGGUUAAACCUAAGUUAAACCCUGGGUCAUGUUUACUGUGCAUUUCACGUCUGGCUUUCAAUAACCCUAGUUUAACACUGGAUUACAAUUGUAUCCAUUUAAACCCAUUACAGUAGCGGAUUAAGGAUGGGGGGUCAGGGGGU